rnacentral:rRNA from 1 species
CUGCUGCCUCCCGUAGGAGUUUGGGCCGUGUCUCAGUCCCAAUGUGGCCGGUCACCCUCUCAGGUCGGCUACUGAUCGUCGCCUUGGUGAGCCGUUACCUCACCAACUAGCUAAUCAGACGCGGGUCCAUCUCAUACCACCGGAGUUUUUCACACAAGAAUAUGCAUCCCCGUGCGCUUAUGCGGUAUUAGCAGUCAUUUCUAACUGUUAUCCCCCUGUAUGAGGCAGGUUACCCACGCGUUACUCACCCGUCCG